rnacentral:rRNA from 1 species
UACAGAGGCCCCAAGCGUUGUUCGGAUUCAUUGGGCGUAAAGGGUGCGUAGGUGGUGUCGUUAGUCGAAUGUGAAAUCCCGGGGCUCAACUCCGGAACUGCAUUCGAUACUGCGGUACUUGAGGAUUGUAGGGGAGAGUGGAAUUCACGGUGUAGCAGUGAAAUGCGUAGAUAUCGUGAGGAAGACCAGUGGCGAAGGCGACUCUCUGGGCAAUUCCUGACACUGAGGCACGAAGGCUAGGGUAGCGAACGGG